UGCUGCAUGGCUGUCGUCAGCUCGUGUCGUGAGAUGUUGGGUUAAGUCCGCAACGAGCGCAACCCCUAUCCUCAGUUGCCAUCAUUAAGUUGGGCACUCUAAAGAGACUGCCGGCGCCAAACCGGAGGAAGGUGGGGAUGACGUCAAGUCCUCAUGGCCUUUAUGACCAGGGCUACACACGUACUACAAUGGCCGGUACAAAGGGCAGCCACUUAGCGAUAAGGAGCCAAUCCCGUAAAGCCGGUCUCAGUCCGGAUUGGAGUCUGCAACUCGACUCCAUGAAGUUGGAAUCGCUAGUAAUCGCAGAUCAGCACGCUGCGGUGAAUACGUUCCCGGGCCUU
rnacentral:rRNA from 1 species